GGCAAGGAGUAUAUAAGAUGAUAUGAAUAGCUAAACACUUAGUAUACGAUAUCAAAUGAAAGAGUGCAUAAACAUCCAAACUAAUGAAACCCGUGACAGCACCCAAGGUGGAGGUCCAUAGCGAUACUGACGUGCAAAUCGUUCAUCUGACUUGGGUAUAGGGGCGAAAGACUAAUCGAACCGUCUAGUAGCUAGUUUCCUUCGAAGUUUCCCUCAGAAUAGCUGGAACUCGCGUGCGAGUUCUAUCGGGUAAAUCCAUUGAUUAGAGGCUUCAUGGGUGCAACACCCUUGACCUAUUCUCAAACUUUUAAUCUGUACGACGGUGCGACUGCUUUGUUGAGUUGCACCAUGGAAUCAAAAGCUCUAAGUGGGCCAUUUUUGGGAAGCUGAACUGGCGAUGCGGGAUGAACCGAAAGCCGGCUUAUGGUGCCAAACUGCAUGCUAACCAAGAUCCAACAAAGGGUGUUGGUCGAUUAAGACAACAGGAAGGUGGUCAUGGAAGUCAAAAUCCGCUAAGGAGUGUGUACCAACUCACCUGCCGAGUAGCCCCAAAAAUGGAUGGCGCUCAAGCGCGCAACCUACACCCAGCCGUCGGGGUAAGUGCCAGACUCCGAUGAGUUGGAGGGAAUGGCGGUCGCUGCAAAACCUUGGGCAUGAGCCUGGGCGGAGCAGCCGUCAGUGCAGAUCUUGGUGGUAGUAGCAAAUAUUCAAAUGAGAACUUUGAAGGACGAAAAAGAGAAAGGUUCAAUGUGAACGGCACUAGCACAUGGGUUAGUCGAUCCUAUGGGUCGGGGGAACCCCGAUAGAUAGCUCAUUUUACACAUACUCCGAAAGGGAAUCGGGUAAAAAUUCGUGAACCGGGACGUGGCGGUUGACGACAACGUUAGGAAGUUGGUAGAUGUCGGUGGGAGCCUCGGGAAGAGUUGUCUUUUCUGUUUAACAGCAUGCCCACCAUGGAGUCGGCUCUGCCAUAGGUAGGGUACAACGGCUGGAGGAGCACCACACGUCACGUGGUGUCCGGUACGCUCUCGGAGACCCUUGAAAAUCCAGAGGACCGAAUGCCGUCCACGCCCCGUGGUACUCAUAAUCGCAUCAGGUCUCCAAGGUGAAGAACCUCUGGUU
rnacentral:ncRNA from 2 species